GGAUAAAAUAGAGGUGAGCAUAAAGUUGCC
rnacentral:piRNA from 1 species